CGGCUGGACAGACGAAAGGGUUCAGACGAGGAAAGUCCGGGCUUCACAGGGCAGGAUGCCGGAUAACGUCCGGUGGAGGUGACUCCAAGGAUAGUGCAACAGAAAUGUACCGCCAGGAUCUGAUCCUGGUAAGGUUGGAAGGGCAGUGUAAGAGACUACCGCCUUGCUGGUAACAGCAGGGGCAUAUGUAAACCCCAU
rnacentral:RNase_P_RNA from 1 species